rnacentral:rRNA from 1 species
AUUGAACGCUGGCGGCAUACCUUACACAUGCAAGUCGAACGGCAGCACGGGGCAACCUGGUGGCGAGUGGCGAACGGGUGAGUAAUGCAUCGGAACGUACCUUUCAGUGGGGGAUAACGUAGCGAAAGUUACGCUAAUACCGCAUAUUCUGUGAGCAGGAAAGCAGGGGAUCGCAAGACCUUGCGCUGAUUGUGAGGCCGAUGUCAGAUUAGCUAGUUGGUGAGGUAAAGGCUCACCAAGGCGACGAUCUGUAGCGGGUCUGAGAGGAUGACCCGCCACACUGGAACUGAGACACGGUCCAGACUCCUACGGGAGGCAGCAGUGGGGAAUUUUGGACAAUGGGGGCAACCCUGAUCCAGCCAUACCGCGUGAGUGAAGAAGGCCUUCGGGUUGUAAAGCUCUUUCGGCCGGGAAGAAAUCGCACGGGCUAAUACCCUGUGUGGAUGACGGUACCGGAAUAAGAAGCACCGGCUAACUACGUGCCAGCAGCCGCAGUAAUAC